GACGAACCGUGCGAACGUUAUUCGGAAUCAUUGGGCUUAAAGGGCGCGUAGGCGGCGGCGUAAGUUGGAAGUGAAAUCCCAUCGGCUCAACCGUGGAAUUGCUCCCAGUACUGCGUCGCUCGAGGGGGAUAGGGGUCUGCGGAACUACCGGUGGAGCGGUGAAAUGUGUUGAUAUCGGUGGGAACGCCAGUGGCGAAAGCGGCAGACUGGACCCUUCCUGACGCUCAUGUGCGAAAGCGUGGGGAGCAAACAGG
rnacentral:rRNA from 1 species